rnacentral:rRNA from 1 species
GAGGAACAGAAAUCAACCGAGAUUCCGUUAGUAGCGGCGAGCGAACGCGGACCAGCCCUUAAGCAGCUUGAGUGAUAGUGGAACGGUCCUGGAAAGGCCGGCGAUACCGGGUGAUAGCCCCGUACACAAAAUGGCUCUUGCUGUGAAAUCGAGUAGGACGGGACACGUGAUAUCCUGUCUGAACAUGGGGGGACCAUCCUCCAAGGCUAAAUACUCCUGACUGACCGAUAGUGAACCAGUACCGUGAGGGAAAGG